GUGAGGAAUAUUGGUCAAUGGGCGAGAGCCUGAACCAGCCAAGUCGCGUGAAGGAUGAAGGUUUUAUGAAUUGUAAACUUCUUUUGCAGGGGAAUAAAGUACGGUACGUGUACCGUUUUGUAUGUACUCUGCGAAUAAGGAUCGGCUAACUCCGUGCCAGCAGCCGCGGUAAUACGGAGGAUCCGAGCGUUAUCCGGAUUUAUUGGGUUUAAAGGGUGCGUAGGUGGUUUGAUAAGUCAGCGGUGAAAGUUUGCAGCUUAACUGUAAAAAUGCCGUUGAAACUGUCGGACUUGAGUGUAAAUGAGGUAGGCGGAAUGCGUGGUGUAGCGGUGAAAUGCAUAGAUAUCACGCAGAACUCCGAUUGCGAAGGCAGCUUACUAAGCUACAACUGACACUGAAGCACGAAAGCGUGGGGAUCAAACAGGAUUAGAAACCCCGGUAGUCC
rnacentral:rRNA from 1 species